UAGCUCAGUUGGUAGAGCAACUGACUUUUAAUCAGUGGGUCGCAGGUUCGAAUCCUGCACGGCUCACCA
rnacentral:tRNA from 1 species